GCAGAGAGUGCUCAAAGGGUAGAACGGCUCUUUUGGAAUUCUCAGAUAUAUUUGGCCAGGUUUACCUAGAGGAGAACACGUUGUUUUUAAUGAAAGGGAUUUAAAGUCACAGUGCACCUUAAGGUGAUGACUUUCUGAAUGGAUGCUCUUUCAUGAGACCCAAGUUGCGAGGUAUAAUUUACAUGCAGUGAUAUGUACAAAUCUUCAGUGAAUGGGUUGAUGAAUGUUUGCCUAUGUAUACCUACAUGUAAUCACUACUCAGAUCAAAAUAGACAACCUGUUCACGACACUGAAAAGUUUUCUAGAGCCCCUUUUCAGUCAAGACCCAUUCCUCCAGAUCAUCAGUGCAACUACUCAUAUCAUCAGUUCUCCCAAUGAUCUGGUCAGACAUGGUCUGAAAUUUAUCUUGGAUCUGCUGCAGGAGUUUCUGCACCACUGAGGGAUGGAAGCUUACUUAUGCCAGGUGGCUGAUGGCCAAGGCCAAACCCAAAGACCACUGCAGCCCAGUCCUCAGGAAAUGAAGUCCAUCUCUGCAGCACUGGAGGAGGAAGACUUCUCCAAUCAAGCAACGAGAAGGCAUACCUGGCAUCCUUCUCUGCUCAGAGAACAUGCUGUUAGGUCUACUCAGUAAACAUUUCCUACCAAUGACUUAGCUGAUACAAAAUAUCAAUUUCAAACUUCCUCUGACACACAUACUACUAUCCCUGAAACUAUUUUCACAAAGAAAAAUUAUUUCACAUCCUCAACUGAAAUUUUAUCAAUUUUCAUUUUUAUUAUUUUAUCACAGUCUAUAUUAAGCCUAAUAAAAAUAAAUAUUUGGAUAAUAUUUAUUCAUUCAUCCAUUUAAGACUUCAGUGAAAAUUUACUGAAUAUCUCUUACGUGUCAGACACAUUAACCUAUGGUCAAGUGCUUUAUUUAAGCAGUUUGGGAGGCCAAGGCAGGAGAAUUGCUUGAGCCCAGGAGUUGGAGACCAGCCUGGGCAGCAAAGUGAGACCUCAUCUCUAAAAACAAACAAACAAAAAAAUUACCCACGUGUGUUGGCAUGUGCCUGUGGUCCCAGCUACAUGAAGCUGAGGCAAGAGGAUCGCUUGAGCCUGGGAGGUUGAGGCUGCAGUGAGUGAGCCACGAUCACACCACUGACUCCAACCAGGGGGACAGAGAGAGACCCUGUCCCAAAUAAAUAAACAAAUAAAAAGUAAAUAAAUGAAUGAAUGAAUAAAUAAAUACAUAAAUAAUCUCAUUGAGUUCUUGACAUCAAUUCUAUGAGAUAGGUUGUUUUUAAGUAAACUAUCAGUCAGGGGCCAGUUAGAAACCACACUAGGUUUUUAAAUAGAGGGGAUUUAAUAUAGGGAAUUAGUUAAGCAGACAUUGGAAUCUGAAAAGCAAAUAAAAAGAUGACUGAGGUAACCCAGAGAAGGGAUUACCAUAACCUAAAAUCUUAGAGGAGGAGCUCUACAGAAGCAGGACUCAGACCCCUAGGGACUGAAGAAGCUAGAAGCUUGAAUCAAGGCUGCUGUUGGGCAGAGCUGUUUUCAGGGUGACCUGACAAGAACAGCAUGCAAACACAAAGGCCUAAGGCACUUUUACCUCCAGCCUUCCAGUCUUAUUUUGUGCCCCCAUUAGUGGAUCCUGUCAAGAAAUUGCCAUUUCUUGAUAGGAUGCGCUAACAAAUAGGAGGGAGGGACCAGCUACAGUGGCUCAUGCCUGCAAUACUAGCACCUUGGGAGGCCGAGGUGGGCUGAUCACAUGAGCCCAGUUCAAGACCAGCUUGGGCAACAUGAUGAAACCCCAUCUCUACAAAAAAUAUAAAAAUUAGAUCAGCUUGCUAGUGCGCAACUGUAGUCCCAACCACUUGGGGAGCUAAGGUGGGAGGAUCUCCUCAGCCCAGGAGGUCAAGGCUGCAGGGAGCCGUGAUUGAGCCACUGCACUCCAGCCUGGGUGACAAAGUGAGAUCCUGUCUCAAAAAUACAAAAACAAAAAAGCCACACACACAAAAAUCCCCACCAAAAACAAAGAAAAAAAAAAAAGAAGAAUAGGAGGGAGGGUUUGGAGCUGAGAGACAACUUAAUUAUUGGCACAUACAUAUUUUACAAGUGCUCGCAAGAACAGCCUUUCCUGACAUGGAGAACUAUGAUAAAAAUAUAUUUAAAAUAAGUCUUCAGAAAUAUUCUGUGAUGAGUAUGUAGAAUUAUUCAAUGCAAAUUUGUGUAAUAGAAAUAUUUCCCACCACUCUUUUUUAUAACUAGACCGUAUAAUGUUGAAACAGCUAUUUACUUUUGCAGAACAUAAUUUUCCUGUAUCAAUGUUUGGUUUUGAUUUAAAACUUAGUCAAGGAGUUUAGUAUCCAGGAUAUUUUAACACAUUUAAAAGGCACUUUAGCUGAUCUGAAUGCCAAACUGGAGUAGGGCUAUCUUCUUAAAGCUUGGUAAAUGAGAUAGAUUAAGCAGUUUACGCUGGUGAGAGUUUAAACUGAGAGAGAGAGAGAUUAAUUUUUUAAUUUUUGGUAGAGGCAGGGUCUCCCUAUAUUGCUCAGGCUUAUUUACAUUUUAAAAGGUGGUUUACUUGAGAAACACAUAAAAACAUGAAAGAAUACUUCAUAGGCCACUUCACACAGUAAAAUAAGCAAUGAUAACAUAUCUGUUUUUGCAAGCAUAAAUAUACAUACUAAAAACAGUUGUGUGGGUGUAACAGUAUGAGUAGAUGAACCAUAUUUAUAAAGAAACAGGGCAAAAAGGGAAAUGAAUAAAUGCAUGUCACUAUGGUUGGUAAUUGUGUGCACUCCACUUUAUAACUGUGG
rnacentral:lncRNA from 10 species